rnacentral:rRNA from 1 species
UACGUAGGCAGCAAGCGUUGUUCGGAGUUACUGGGCGUAAAGGGUGUGUAGGCGGUUGGAUAAGUGUGGUGUGAAAUCUCCCGGCUUAACUGGGAGGGUGCGCUACAAACUGUCUGACUAGAGUGUGGGAUGGGUAAGUGGAAUUCCUGGUGUAGCGGUGAAAUGCGUAGAUAUCAGGAGGAACACCGGUGGUGUAAGACG